rnacentral:lncRNA from 1 species
AUACUCUAUAGUGAACUCAUUAUUUCUUACUUGCAGUUGAAGUGGUGUGCUUGGGUUGCGCUAUACUGCUCCUGCAUCAGCUUUGCCAACUCGAGAGUCAAUGACGAUACGAAACAAAUGCUCAGCAGCUUCAUGUUGUCCAUUUCUGCAGUUGUGAUGUCCUACCUUCAAAACCCACAGCCAAUGACACCUCCAUGGUCCAAUAUAUAAACAGUUCUAUAUUAUCGAUUGUUUUUGGUUGAAUGGAAAUGUAUAAUUGCCUCACCAUACUUGUAUUAAAAUUGUACUGCUGAAUGACAGUGACAAUUUUAGUUUUAAUAAACUAGCUAAUGGUGCCAGGUUUGUAUUAUGAUGUGCAAUAUGGAACAGUGCCAACAUUUGAUGAUGUGCAUGAGUUACAAAAUGGCUUGGUUUGUUAAUCUUUUAAUUUGUGUAGCCUGCACUAUAUAAUUCUUGUGUUAUACUUCCCAUCCAAAAGUUUCUUGUAAGCAGCUUGUCUUUUUUUUUCUUUAACAAAUGGACAAAUUUGUAUUGUCCCAUAACAUUAUCAUGUCAUUCAUGCCAGUGUAAAAGGCAAUAGCAUGAAGGUCAAAGCUUGAAAUAUCCUGGAAUAUGAAGUACCAUACGAGUUGAUCCUCGAGUGACAACCACAUUAGUACAGUAGAUAGCCUCCAUAUUAGACAUAAAAGGAAGACUUGAUCACCACGUUAGAAAUAGAAGAGUGAAAGGGAAUUGGGAGUGGAAUGGUAGGCAGUCAGUAUGGGGGAAGGGAGACUUUUGGAGUACAGUACAGUACUGUCCAUUCAGUAGAGCCAGGCUGUCACCUGAUCGGAUGACAGGCAAAGUUAUCAGUCACUAGCACUGAUUUUAUAGUUUUCUUCGAGGUGACAUCAACUGCAUAAUAUCUUUUUGAUCAUGAAAUUACAUUAACUCCAACCAGUUACUGCUGGCUAAUAAUUCUUAGACAUAAAGGAAAGAGGACAAAUCAGAAGAGCAUGUUAAGAUAGGGCUACCUGAAUAGGUUUCAGUUGUGGUUACUCCAUCAGAGGGGCGUUCAUGGGGAUAAAGACAGAUUCUACAGUAAAUUGUUAAUUCCUCUUUUAGGACUGCCUCCUCUUCCAUUUUGCUUAGUUAUGCAAAGUUGUUGUUUUAUGGUUACAAAGGAAACAUAUCAUUCCUUAAUUUCUUAUUUUGACUGUAUCAGAAUUUAGAAUUUCUAAAAUAUAGUUACAGGUUGUAAGUACAGUAUGUAUAACAGUUUAUACAGUACUAUACUUAGUGUAUAAAAUAUAUAUUAAUGCAGGCUAUAUGUAUUAUUGUUAAAUAUGUACUUUUGGAUUUCAUAGUAAACCUUUUACCAUAAUAAAUAAUUAUCUUCUCCUUUCAAUAGUGCAUUUGUCAUGUUGAAUUAUAUGGUAUAUCAGGAUUUUAUCGGUACUACCUUGUUGACUGCGUGUUCCUCCCGUUACUAUACUGUAUACAGUAUCUCUCCUUCCCAUUACAGUAUUACGCUGAGAUGUAUCAGUAAGGUGGUUGGGCUCACUGGCUCAAGCAAAGAAUAUUCACUAUACAAUACUAUAUUGAAUAUAAAUUCAGUGGAUUUUGUACUACAUGGGAACCUGGUCCAAGAUAGGGAUUUUAAUCUAGCCAGUGACCUGUACAAUGAAUUUGGCAUCUAGAUAAUGCAGAAUUCCUCCAAGACUGAUAAUUUUAAAUUAAUAUUACUAAAAAAUUCAAACAGUGCUUUUUCCAUGGGAUUUCUGCAUCAAAUUAUGCACAAAUGUAUGUC